GGGGAUCAGAGGGUAUGGAGAGAAGGCAGGUACGGGAUAUUGAGUUGGAUGAUCAGCCAUGAUCAUAUUGAAUGGCGGUGCAGGCUCGAAGGGCCGAAUGGCCUACUCCUGCACCUAAUUUCUAUGUUUCUAUGUUUCUAUGAGUCAGACAGAGAGAGGAAAGACAGAGACACAGAAAGAGGAAAAAGAGAGAGAGAGAGAGAGAGCCAGAGGAACAGAAGUAGGAGACGACAGGAUGACAGAUUAUCCCUUGGGGCACCCAUAAACUGAGAGGGCUAAAAAAAAUUAAAAUAAAUAAUAAAUAAAAAUGCCUCACCCUAUAUCCCUGAUGGGGAAGGAAAUGGAUUAGGGCUUUGGAGGAGGAGAACGUGGGACGAUUAUUAGCCAUGAAAGAUUUGAAGGCACCAUUGGUAAAAGUGGUGGGAACCACUAAGUGUCAGAUAAAGAUGAUGUAAAUUGUUACAACCGGGCUGACAAAAGACUACAAACAUGGCCGCCGCUCACAAACUUACCGGCUACAGCGCCAUCUUCUGGUUGGAUGCCGUCAUGACCGAGGGUAUGCAGGCCCCUCAGCAAAUGUUACCCACUUAAGGUGAACCCCAAGGAACAAAGGGGAAUGAGAAGGUGGAGAGUUGAAAAUGAACAAGAAAAAGAAGGCAUGUGGACAUUAUAUUAUGAACUAUUGUGGUGGAAGUCAUUCUUCUUAAAGUCAAGCAGAAUUGAAGGAGGUGGUGGGAUUGUCAUUUAUUUCCAACCCCCGAUUCAGCAAACAGUUGGUCUCUGCGGUCAAUGUCAAUGAACAAGGCCCCUGGUUGAAAAGACUGAAAUAAGUGAUGAACUGACACAAGUGAGUCCUAUGAGGGAACCAAGCGGGGCCAGAGAAUUACAUGCCAAUAAUACAUGUCUUGGGGAACUUUUCCUCAAAGUCCUAUCAGGAGUGAAAUUAAUCUGGAGAUUAUAAGCCCUAACUGGACUGGGGUCCCCAAGAGAGAGAAAGGGAUUUAAGGAAGGAUGUCAAGAAAGGCCAGGAUGAGAAUUAAAAACCAAGGAGCUGUUGGCACAGAGUCCCCAUCUCGACUUGCCAAUCCAUUCUGUGAAAGCAGAGAACUGGGAUCUUGUAAAAUCAUGGAAGGAAGAAAAGCUGCAACCAAAGUGGACUGGACCCUACCUUGUGUUAUUAAUCACCGAGACAGCAGUACGAACAAAAGAAAAAGGGUGGACACACGCAAACCGAUUUAAGGGUCCUGUGGAGGCCCCACCGGACAAUAUCAGCCCGUAGACUGUGCGUGAAGGGAAGGAACCAUUGACUUUGUGCCUAUUCGGAUGUUGUAUUAUUCCCUGCGCUGGCCUUCAGAACACAGUAUGACUAGCGAGAGGAGGAUAGGGAGGCGAAGAAUCUGCUGCUAGCACUAGAAAAGGAAGAUAUAGUAUAAUUCAAAAGAUGCGUAGCAAAAAGAAAAA